UACGUAGGUGGCAAGCGUUGUCCGGAUUUAUUGGGUUUAAAGGGUGCGUAGGCGGUCCCAUAAGUCAGGGGUGAAAUACUCUAGCUUAACUAGAGGGGUGCCAUUGAUACUGCGGGACUUGAGUAGAGUUGAAGUGGGCGGAAUUGACGGUGUAGCGGUGAAAUGCUUAGAUAUCGUCAAGAACACCGAUAGUGAAGACAGCUCACUAAGCUCAAACUGACGCUGAGGCACGAAAGUGUGGGGAUCAAACAGG
rnacentral:rRNA from 1 species